AUAAUAGCACACCCCUGAGCUUGUUUCUUUCCGUAUGACGCUUGUGAGGCGUUUUUUCUUCGACAGCGAUUUUUGACUACAUGGCACACGCACUCGACCAAAUACCACUCAGCAACACCGAUUCGCAAGCUCAGUUGACAAACUUCAGUUUACCAGCAUAUUAUACACAUCGAUCCAACCAUAUGCGUCACCAGGCACAAUAGCUACUAUUUUCAAGUAUCCAAAAAGACAAAGGUAAUCAUAUAGUUGCAUUAUUAAUACGUUACUUGUUAAUGAUUGAUUUUUCCAUCACAAUACCUCGAAUACAUGUUAUAUGUAGCCGAGGAGCACACACACGUGUGCAACGGUCAACGCAUAAAGGCGUUGGCAGUUGAUUAUAUUAUAUACUCAGCAGAAAAUCUAGGAGCUAUGCAUAGCUUGGGUAUCUCAUAUUUUACCAUCAGCUUUGUACACUCACAAGUAAGUGCUUGUUUGAAGAGCGCAUUGACGUGUUAUUGUAUAGAAUAUUUCAACCCCGCACUGUACACUGCUGCAGUGGACGUUCGUAGAAAUUGGGUGGAUGUCCCACGUCAUAGAUACUUUUACAGCCUUACAUCUUAUUUGAGAAUAUAAAGUCACGAGACACAUAAUCUGUGUUCCCUCUGUUGUAGUUGAUGUGUACACGCGCGUGUGUCCGUGCACCGUUGUAUUUAAAAUAGACUUGGCAAUUUGAUUCUCGAUGGAACGUAUAGUAUCGGUUUAUUUUCGGCAACCCGCGCAAGGUUAGUCAUCUCUCGCUUGUUACGUAUAAAUGCACACGCGCCCCCGUCUGUGUAGAUUAUAUGU